rnacentral:lncRNA from 1 species
CGCCUUUAAACGAUAUAAAUUAGGUGAAAAAGUAAUGAAUUAAAUACAAGAAAACUAAGAUAAAAUAAAAUGACCACACCUUAGGAAAUUUAUCUAGAUUAAUUAAUUUAAAUAUUAGUUAGCACAAAUAAACAAUACAAGCUACAAAAAAUGAUGGGAGAAUUAAAAUUGGGCCCUCAAUUGGCCCAUUAAUGAAGCUGCCCAGUUUUGGGCUUGAAUUCCAUUUUCUGAAGUGUAUAUCAGUUGUAUACUGACUGUAUAUCAGCCUAUUGCUGCCGCGUUUCUGUAUACGCGUUGUAUAUCUGUGUAUAAACCUUGUAUGCUCGCUUCCACUUUUAAUAUACGCCAUUAUCAGCUGCUUUCCAGUGUACACCAACUGUAUCUAAGUGUAUAUCCCAUAUAUAUCAGUCCAGUUUUGGACUUUAAGGCUUGACUCGAGAUAAUGUGGGCGAAUGAAACGAUAUGGGGAGUCCCAUUGGACUCGUUCAAGAUGGGUUCAUGCAAAAAAAGAAAAAACAAACAAUUAAUAACACGUCAAGAGGACGACUGAUGUUAAUUUUAACAUUUAAAUCAACAUCCGAAACAACUUAAUCAAGAUAGCAAAUACAUUUAGAAUUUCAUGGAAGAUAGAUAGUUCUACUAUUAGUGUCCGCACAGACGAAGAAGAAAAUGAAACCAAAAGAGUUAAUCCAUGUAAAAAGGCACAAUGUUCAGACAAAGAAAAGCAUGAUGAAACCAACCUCUCAGACUAUAUGGCAAGAUCAUGUCCUAAUAUACACGAUAUUUAAAUUAUGGGGACAGAAGCCUACUGCUAACAUUUUGGAUUUUGAAUAAUUAUACAUAUCUUGUAUAAAGAGCAAAAAAACCAUUAAUUCCUUGGAACCCAACAGUAAAAUGAACCAAAUAACAACAAAACAUUAACUAGGUUCUUAGAGGAAAGUAAAGUAAGGAGGAACAUAUUAUUUAUUAAAUAGAUCCACUAAAAGGGCUUACGCGACCUAGGCCAAGGAGAAAUAAUGAAAUGAGCAUCAACAUGUUAAUGAUAACACAUAUUCAUCACAAAAUUGGAGGUGCUAAGGAUUUUUAUUCAAGUGUGGCAACUAACCUUAAGAACCUGCUAUUUUACGGGAACAAAAUUAAGUGAACAUAACAAAUCUUAUAACUAGACUCAUUUGAAACAUUGAGUAAAACAUACAUACAUGUAUACAUAUUUUUAUUUCAAAGGCUAGCAAAGAUAAAAUUAUUUUAUUCCAAAAUGGAACCAAAAGAAAAACCAAGAACCGGACUUAAACAUAGUAUAAUCACAAUCUACUUAUGAAUUUAUUUCUAUAUAAAAGAGAAAAAUAAACUGAAUAAAAUAGGAAGCCACUGGAGUUACACAUUGUCUGUACAGAUAAUACUAUUAAAAUUUAGUACUUAGGAAUUCAUGAAAAAUUUAAAGCAAUUUUCAACCUUUUACAAGUGGGAAAAAAAGUAACCGAGGCUUAAGAUGAUAAUCAAACAUGGCACAAUCUGUUAAAAGCUUCGAGCUUUUCAAUCCAUUUCAAUGAUCAAUUUUACUUUCAAUUCCGAUACACACCAAAUACACAUAUAUUCCAAUAUAAACCCGUCUGACAAAUCGUAUAACUUGUUAAGCCCAACGAAGGAUCGAAAUGACAACACAGUAUUCAAUUUGCAAUUACAAUUUCCAAAUACAUAAAAAUAAAAGUGAAGAUAAAUACAAAGAGAAUGAAGUCCUUACCGGUUUCGAAGCAGCGAAUCGGGAUGACGAAUGGACGACUUUCAAUUGGAGUUUAAAUUCCGAAUCUUCAAAAUUUAAUUUCUAUCGAAUCGAAUUUUUGAGUAUGUUUCUUCGAGAACUUUUGGUUACGUAGGAUUAGGAUUAGAAGCACACGCCUCCCGAAUCCUCAAUUUUUUCCUAAAAAUCCUCUCCUUAUUUCUCUACAUGGGUGGAUAUUUAUAGAAGAAUUUUGGGUUGUUUUGGAGGGGAACGGAGGGGUAAAAAAGGAAAAAAAAUUUGAAAUUUAAAUUUUAAAAAUUGAGAUGAGGUGCUGAGCUGUUUUUGCCAUUGCUGUCGUUGGUGUUUAACUCUUAAUGUUUUAAAUUAAAUUUUUGUCUUUCGAAUGAUGAUUUUACUAUAUCACUCCUUAUUAUAAGUUAAUUUAUGUAUUAGAAAAAUAAGAAUAACAAAGUGAUAUGUCAACAUAAAAUAUUUGAUUGACCAUCAAAAUUAUAUCAGUGCCAUAUAAAUUGGGACGGGACAGAAGAAGAUAUAAAACAACAUAUAUAUUAUUUGAAAAUGAAAUAAAAAGUAUUGUAAAUAACAAUAAUUAACAAAUUUUUUAAAAAAAAUUGACUGAUUUCUGUUUCAGCUGCUUCAAUCGUAAUUUUAAUGUAUAGUGAUGUUUAAAGAGGGUAAAAUGACAUAAUGAGAUUUAAAGAGGAUAAAAUGUAUGUAGUAUAGUGUGAGAAGAAUAAAGCAUAAGUAAAUUUUAUUACUAUAUUUUAAAGAAAUUAAAGAAAAGAAGUAUAAAGAUUAUUUAAAGAUUUUUACAAACUUAUUUAAAUAUAAAUAAAGUAAAUUUAGGUACAAAAAACGUGUAUCUAUCACAAAUUUGCUAUCAAACACUUCACACUUUCUUAACAUUAGCAAACUUUCUAUCAAAUAUGUGUAGCCAUCUUUCUCAACUUUUAACAGCUCCUCAAUAUUAAUUAACAUUUCUCUAUUUUAAAAUAAAAUAAAGAAAAGAAAAUCUCAAUUCUUCCUUCUCUAUUAAAAAACAACAUUCUUUUUCUGUGUUAAAAUAAUAAUUAAACAAAACAAUAGUGAAUCUAAGGUGUGUAUUCUCUUUUAUCGGGUAAAGUUUACAUGAUUCUUAUUCUUGGCGAUAAUGAAAAUCAAUAAUCUGCUGGAUAUUUGAUUUAAGCUAUUUCAUCAGAUUUAUGCCUCUUCUUUCUUUAUAUUUCUGAUCGCAAAAUUCAAUAAGAAGGUUAAAAAAAGGUUUCAAUUGUGAUCCCUCAGCUCAAUCAUACUAAUGAAAAUAUUCUACUGCUCAAACUUUCUACUCCAAGAUAAACCGUAAAACUUAAAAAUUGCAAAUUCACAUAUUCUACUGUUGGCCCCAGACACGGGCCUUUCACUUCUAGUGUUAGAAUACAAGCUACAAAAAAUGAUGCAAGAAUCAAAACUGGGCCCUCAAUUGGCUCAUUAAUGCGUCUGCCUAGUUUUGGGCUUGAAUUAUGGACUUCAGUCCAUUUUUCUGAAGUGUAUAUCAGUUGUAUGCUGACCGUAUAUCAACCCUAUUGCUGCUGCGUUUUUGUAUACGAGCUGUAUAUCUGUGUAUAAACCUUGUGUGCUCACUUCCACUUUUAAUAUAGGCCAUUAUCAGCUGCUUUCCAGUGUACACCAACUGUAUCUAAGUGUAUAUCCCAUGUAUAUCAGUCCAGUUUUGGACUUUAAGGCUUGACUCGAGAUAAUGUGGGCGAAUGCAACGAUAUGGAGAGUCCCAUUGGACUUGUUCAAGAUG